GAUGAAGAACGCAGCGAAAUGCGAUAAGUAAUGUGAAUUGCAGAAUUCAGUGAAUCAUCGAAUCUUUGAACGCACAUUGCGCCCCUUGGUAUUCCGAGGGGCAUGCCUGUUCGAGCGUCAUUAUAACCCCUCAAGCUCAGCUUGGUGUUGGGGCCUGCUGCACUGGCAGCCCUUAAAAUCAGUGGCGGCGCCAUCUGGCUCUAAGCGUAGUAAUUCUUCUCGCUAUGGAGUCCUGGUGGAUGCUUGCCAUCAACCCCCAAUUUUUCUAUGGUUGACCUCGGAUCAGGUAGGGAUACCCGCUGUACUUAAGCAUAUCAAUAAGCGGAGGA
rnacentral:misc_RNA from 1 species